GCUCUGUUGGUCAAACGGCGAAGACGCUACACUUUCUAUGUAGAAUUAAGGGUUCGAUUCCCUUACAGAGUG
rnacentral:tRNA from 1 species